rnacentral:rRNA from 1 species
GACGAACGCUGGCGGCGUGCUUAACACAUGCAAGUCGAACGGAAAGGCCCUGCUUUUGUGGGGUGCUCGAGUGGCGAACGGGUGAGUAACACGUGAGUAACCUGCCCUUGACUUUGGGAUAACUUCAGGAAACUGGGGCUAAUACCGGAUAGGAGCUCCUGCUGCAUGGUGGGGGUUGGAAAGUUUCGGCGGUUGGGGAUGGACUCGCGGCUUAUCAGCUUGUUGGUGGGGUAGUGGCUUACCAAGGCUUUGACGGGUAGCCGGCCUGGGAGGGUGACCGGCCACAUUGGGACUGAGAUACGGCCCAGACUCCUACGGGAGGCAGCAGUGGAGAAUAUUGCACAAUGAGCGGAAGCCUGAUGCAGCAACGCCGCGUGCGGGAUGACGGCCUUCGGGUUGUAAACCGCUUUCGCCUGUGACGAAGCGUGAGUGACGGUAAUGGGUAAAGAAGCACCGGCUAACUACGUG